rnacentral:rRNA from 1 species
GAGUUUGAUCAUGGCUCAGAACGAACGCUGGCGGCAGGCCUAACACAUGCAAGUCGAGCGCCCAGCAAUGGGAGCGGCGGACGGGUGAGUAACGCGUGGGAAUUUUCCUCAAGGUACGGAACAACUCAGGGAAACUUGGGCUAAUACCGUAUGAUGUCUAGCGACCAAAGAUUUAUCGCCUUGGGAUGAGCCCGCGUCAGAUUAGGUAGUUGGUGGGGUAACGGCCUACCAAGCCUGCGAUCUGUAGCUGGUCUGAGAGGACGAUCAGCCACACUGGGACUGAGACACGGCCCAGACUCCUACGGGAGGCAGCAGUGGGGAAUCUUGCGCAAUGGGCGAAAGCCUGACGCAGCCAUGCCGCGUGAAUGAUGAAGGUCUUAGGAUUGUAAAGUUCUUUCGCUCGUGACGAUGAUGACGGUAACGAGAGAAGAAGCCCCGGCUAACUUCGUGCCAGCCGCCGCUGUAAG